CCUGACAGUUUCUUACAACGAUGCCAUGCCUCGUUCUGGAAAUUGCAGCUACCUCAGGUAUUCUGCACAUUUUGAGAACUAUCUUUUGAGAAGUUCUGCAAGCUAUCCCGAAAGACAGUAUAAUGGAGACUAGGAAGUAUUCUGAAGUUGGUGUGGAUAAACAAAGAAGUUCUGCAGCACAUAACAAGACAGAGAUGUCAUCACAAGAUUUGUUAAAGGGUUAAGCCUAAAUUAAUAAAAAUAUAAUAAAAUCAAGCUACACACA